AAACCGCAUGGUUUUGAUUUGAAAGGCGCUUUCGGGUGUCGCUGAUGGAUGGACCCGCGGUGCAUUAGCUAGUUGGUGAGGUAACGGCUCACCAAGGCCACGAUGCAUAGCCGACCUGAGAGGGUGAUCGGCCACAUUGGGACUGAGACACGGCCCAAACUCCUACGGGAGGCAGCAGUAGGGAAUCUUCGGCAAUGGACGAAAGUCUGACCGAGCAACGCCGCGUGAGUGAAGAAGGUUUUCGGAUCGUAAAACUCUGUUGUUAGAGAAGAACAAGGAUGAGAGUAACUGUUCAUCCCUUGACGGUAUCUAACCAGAAAGCCACGGCUAACUACGUGCCAGCAGCCGCGGUAAUACGUAGGUGGCAAGCGUUGUCCGGAUUUAUUGGGCGUAAAGCGAGCGCAGGCGGUUUCUUAAGUCUGAUGUGAAAGCCCCCGGCUCAACCGGGGAGGGUCAUUGGAAACUGGGAGACUUGAGUGCAGAAGAGGAGAGUGGAAUUCCAUGUGUAGCGGUGAAAUGCGUAGAUAUAUGGAGGAACACCAGUGGCGAAGGCGGCUCUCUGGUCUGUAACUGACGCUGAGGCUCGAAAGCGUGGGGAGCAAACAGGAUUAGAUACCCUGGUAGUCCACGCCGUAAACGAUGAGUGCUAAGUGUUGGAGGGUUUCCGCCCUUCAGUGCUGCAGCUAACGCAUUAAGCACUCCGCCUGGGGAGUACGACCGCAAGGUUGAAACUCAAAGGAAUUGACGGGGGCCCGCACAAGCGGUGGAGCAUGUGGUUUAAUUCGAAGCAACGCGAAGAACCUUACCAGGUCUUGACAUCCUUUGACCACUCUAGAGAUAGAGCUUCCCCUUCGGGGGCAAAGUGACAGGUGGUGCAUGGUUGUCGUCAGCUCGUGUCGUGAGAUGUUGGGUUAAGUCCCGCAACGAGCGCAACCCUUAUUGUUAGUUGCCAUCAUUCAGUUGGGCACUCUAGCAAGACUGCCGGUGACAAACCGGAGGAAGGUGGGGAUGACGUCAAAUCAUCAUGCCCCUUAUGACCUGGGCUACACACGUGCUACAAUGGGAAGUACAACGAGUUGCGAAGUCGCGAGGCUAAGCUAAUCUCUUAAAGCUUCUCUCAGUUCGGAUUGCAGGCUGCAACUCGCCUGCAUGAAGCCGGAAUCGCUAGUAAUCGCGGAUCAGCACGCCGCGGUGAAUACGUUCCCGGGCCUUGUACACACCGCCCGUCACACCACGAGAGUUUGUAACACCCGAAGUCGGUGAGGUAACCUUUUCUCUCAAACACUUUUGUUCAUUGAAAACUGGAUAUUUGAAGUAA
rnacentral:rRNA from 1 species